UACGUAGGGUGCGAGCGUUGUCCGGAAUUAUUGGGCGUAAAGGGCUCGUAGGCGGUUUGUCGCGUCGGGAGUGAAAACCCAGGGCUUAACUCUGGGCUUGCUUUCGAUACGGGAAGGCUAGAGGUAUGCAGGGGAGAGCGGAAUUCCUGGUGUAGCGGUGAAAUGCGCAGAUAUCAGGAGGAACACCGGUGGCGAAGGCGGUUCUCUGGGCAUUACCUGACGCUGAGGAGCGAAAGUGUGGGGAGCGAACAGG
rnacentral:rRNA from 1 species